GGAGGAGUCGAUCGCCACCUAUCCGCCCAGCGGGCCUCACCCCUUGGUGCUGGAUGUGGGCGCCUGGGGAAUCGACCUGGCGCGCUGCCUGAAUCUCACCCUGCUUGUGUUCGACACAACGGGGAAGGAGAGGAGGCUGCACUACCGAGCUGUAGCCAGUCCCGGGAGCCUCCCGGCCAGGACGAAAGGCACCGGGCAGCGCUCUGACCGCAGCG